UAAGAAUAUAAUCAAGGCCCAUAGUUUGCUGUGGCUGCUGUUUUAAAGGGGGACAUAAAGAGAAUUCUUUCUAGGGUCUGUUGGCCAUUUGAGAACUUUGGAAAUAUGGUCAAAGCAUUAGAAAGGAAUAGUA
rfam:Cavia porcellus supercont2_31 genomic scaffold, whole genome shotgun sequence.